rnacentral:lncRNA from 1 species
AGCUAUUAAUAGAUAAUGUCUUUAACCUAAAGCUUCAUCUCCCCACCUCCACCCUACACACACACACACACACACACACACACACACACAUCUUUACUCUCCAGUGACAUAGAACUAUCAUUUCUGAAGACACCUUGCUUUUUCCCUCCAGCUUGAUUUUUUGUUUGCACCAUACUAAACCUAGGAAGCCCUGCCUUUCCUCUUGCUUCCAAUGAGGUUUCUCCAGGAACCAGCUCAAAAUGCACCACUUCAGUUCAAGCAGAAUUAGUGUUCUCUCCUUUGUAUGUCACAGUGCUGCACUACCCAACGGCUUCCCCUUUUAAAUUGUGGUCAGAGCAAAAACAAUGAGUCAUGCUUUAGUUAUAUUUUUCCUUUUCUGUCUCUCUCUUUUCCCUCCUCUUCUCUCCUGCCUGUCUCUGAUGCAUAGAAGGCAUUCCAUAAAUGCUUGUUGAUGAAACACAUAUCCAAGAAAAGGUAGUCUGCAGGAAAACUGGAGGAAGACUUAUGCUUAGAGUCCUUGCUCUGCAAACUUCUACAGGAACCAGUGUGGACUUGGAGGCCUUAGCAAACUAUCACAGGAACAGAAAACCAAAUACCGCAUGUUCUCACUUAUAACUGGGAGCUAAAUCAUGAGAGCACAAGGACACCCAGAGAACAACAUACACUGGGGCCUU